rnacentral:rRNA from 1 species
CCUACGGGGGCAGCAGUGGGGAAUAUUGGACAAUGGGCGAAAGCCUGAUCCAGCAAUGCCGCGUGAGUGAUGAAGGCCUUCGGGUCGUAAAGCUCUUUUACCAGGGAUGAUAAUGACAGUACCUGGAGAAUAAGCUCCGGCUAACUCCGUGCCAGCAGCCGCGGUAAUACGGAGGGAGCUAGCGUUGUUCGGAAUUACUGGGCGUAAAGAGUACGUAGGCGGUUAUUCAAGUCAGAGGUGAAAGCCCGGGGCUCAACCCCGGAACUGCCUUUGAAACUAGAUAACUAGAGUCUUGGAGAGGUUAGUGGAAUUCCGAGUGUAGAGGUGAAAUUCGUAGAUAUUCGGAAGAACACCAGUGGCGAAGGCGACUAACUGGACAAGUACUGACGCUGAGGUACGAAAGCGUGGGGAGCAAACAGGAUUAGAUACCCUGGUAGUCCACGCCGUAAACGAUGAUAACUAGUUGUUCGGUCACUUGGUGACUGAGUGACGCAGCUAACGCAUUAAGUUAUCCGCCUGGGGAGUACGGUCGCAAGAUUAAAACUUAAAUGAAUUGACGG